CAAAGACUGAAUAACCACUUCCGGGUGCCAGCGGAAGUGGAGACGCUGGAGAUCCGGCGGCCGUUCCCGGGGGCACCCACAGACCAGCAGACGGGCGGUGGCUGUUUGAUGAGAUCGGGGUGCUGUGAGCCAGGUGCGCAGAGCUUGGGGAGAAAACAGGCAAGGCAAGCUGGAGCCUGCCCGGACUGGGGAGGCCAGAAACUCAAUGCCUGAUCAUUAGUGAGAAGAUUCCAAUUCCAGUGAAACCACGUAAGGGCCCGCACUCGACAGACCGUCUGCCUGUGUGACCCAGCCACUGAGUUCCUGGGCCUGAAGGAAGAAUGCAUUUUUGUCCUUCCUUCAGGUAGAUAAUUCACCUCCUUGAAAUACAUCAUCCCAGUGGAAAAGUCAUCUUUGAAUGGAAUCACUUGUGACAUCUCUGUUUGGCCACAGUGCUUCUACAGUGCUACUAUUCAUCCUUAAUGCAAAAAUUCUUAUCAUGUUCUUGGGCCUGCCCUCGGUGAUAACAUUUUGAAGAAGACUAGGCCAGAGCUUCAUUAGCUGAGACAUUUACAAGUAUGUAAUGGGGUUGGAUCUUCAAGACGCACUCUUGCGUCAAGCUGGGUACCCCCAAAGGUACCGUGUCUGGGAGCCCCCCGGGGUUAUUUCACACACUUGGUAUAAUAUGACUAUGAGUGUCCCAGGGCACUCUCCUCUCACACAGAUCACCAUAGCUCUCAAGAUCCUGGCUCCCCUUUCUCCUCUUGUCGGUUAAAAGAAGAAACCCAUUCUAAAGGAGAACAGAGGUUUCCCAUUUUAUUGUCACAGAGUGAAACAGAAGGAAAUGACACCAAAGUGGAGAAGGAGGCCGAGACUGGAGUGAUGUGGACGCAAGUCAAGGAACACCUGGAAGGUGGAAGAGGCAGAACAGAGAGAAUGCCCCAGAGCAUCCAGAGGAGCUCAGCCCUGCUGACACCUCAGUUUCAGACUUCUGGCCCCGAGAACUGAGACAGAACGCUUUUCUGUCAUUUUGAGCCACCGAGUUUGUGGUCAUGGUACAGCAGCCCUAGAAAACUAACAUGAGGGCUUUGAAACUCAACUCCAUUGCUCUUUGUGAUAAACUGGACAAGCCUGUACUGUGACAUCAGGACUGCAGCAGCCUUAGAAAGGAGAUUUAAAAAACCAAAGGCCUCAGACCCCAGCCCACCCACCCUGCCUUCCUCCCAACCCAACCCAACCCAACCAAGCUAAAAACCCUUGGCCUCUCUGAGAGCGAUCAUCCCAAAUUGUGGCAUAAGCAGCAGUUCCAGGGCACCUAAAGGAAACAAAGGAUCUGUGGAGGUAUUUGACAUAAUCUAACGUUCUUCUGCACAAGCACAGGGAGAGCUGGAGAAGGCAGCUACCACAAGCAGAAAGAGGACUGAUUGACUGAUUCCUUCUAGGCAAUUUCUGGAGCAACUGCUGCAUGGAUUAUACAUCCUUCUGCCUCGAGGGAGUGAUGAGUCCUUCCUAGUUUACAGUCAUUCAAACAAGGCAAGGCCA